rnacentral:rRNA from 1 species
GACGAACGCUGGCGGCGUGCUUAACACAUGCAAGUCGAACGGAAAGGCCCUGCUUUUGCUGGGUGCUCGAGUGGCGAACGGGUGAGUAACACGCGAGUAACCUGCCCUUGACUUUGGGAUAACUUCAGGAAACUGCGGCUAAUACCGGAUAGGAGCUCCUGCUGCAUGGUGGGGGUUGGUAAGUUUCGGCGGUUGGGGAUGGACUCGCGGCUUAUCAGCUUGUUGGUGGGGUAGUGGCUUACCAAGGUUUUGACGGCUAGCCGGCAUGAGAGGGUGACCGGCGACAUUGGGACUGAGAUACGGCCCAGACUCCUACGGGAGGCAGCAGGCGGGAAUAUUGCACAAUGGGGGGAAGCCUGAUGCAGCAACGCCGCGUGCGGGAUGAUGGCCUUCGGGUUGUAAACCGCUUUCGCCGGUGACGAAGCGUGAUUGACGGUAAUUGGUAAAGAAGCACCGGCUAACUACGUG